GUACCACCACCAAGGGUGAACACAUAACUACUAGUGGAUUUUAUCUCAUUUGAGUCUAAAAUCCAGUUAGCAUCACUGUAUCAUUCAAAUAAAACGGAAAAUCCACUAUAUAAAAUACCAUAGUUCAUGGUACCUCUCAAAUAUUUCAUUAGUUUGACAAAUGCAGCCCAAUGAUCAUGAUUGGGAUUAUGUGUAUACCUACUCAAUCUACACACAGCAUAUGCUAUAUCAGGACGAGAAAAAUUAAUUAAAUGCAACAAACUCCCAACAAUCUGUACAUAUUCAGAUUGAACAAUAGGAUUACCUCUAUUUUUCUUUGAUUGAGUGUUAGCAUCAUAACGGGUGCUUACUAGUUUGACAUCGAAAUGUCUAAACUUUUGUAGAAGUUUCUCAACAUAAUAUUCUUGUGAUUUCAUUAUAUCAUUACCUCUCCUUAUGAUUUUAACACUCAAAAUCACAUUUACCUCGCCCAUAUCUUUCAUAUCAAAUUUAUAAGCAAGAAAACAUUUUGUUUUACGCACUAUAUCAUAACUAGUACCAAAAAUGAGCAUGUCAUCUACAUAUAAACAAAUAAUUACACACUCAUCAUUUACAAGUUAUGUAUAAACAUUUAUCAACUUCAACAGAGGAAAAACUAUCACUAAUCAAAACUUGAUCUCAUGCCGCUAUUUUGGUGCUUGUUUCAAACUAUAUAAAUAUUUAAGAAGUUUGCAAACUUUGUUUUCUUAACUAGAAUUGACAA
rnacentral:misc_RNA from 1 species